GAGUCUUCCCGGGAUUGGCUGCGGGCCUCGCGACCCUCCUGCUUCCCUCCCCGCCCCGCGCCGCCUCUCUGGUUUGUGCGCCCGUCGCAGGUCGCAGGCCUCUUUGUCAGCUGGAGUUGCGCGGGCUGACGCGCCACUAUGUAGCGGGUUUCGGGCGGGCCACGCGUGCGGGACAGGAACCCAACCCCAGCCGACCUUGAGCUCCAGGAGUUCGUCUCUUACGUCUGCGGAAGUGCAGCUGCCUCAGUUCUUAGCGCAGGUAUGUUCCUAGCCUUGAGCGGGGUGGGGGAAGGAAUGAGUCAGCCUGGAGCACGUGGCCAGUGGGACCGGAGGGUUCCCCGGCGUCUGUUUGUCGCCAAGGUCCGAAUCCGGCUCCCCUUAACUGGAAGGAAACAUCCAUGUAGGGGCUCACCAAACAAAACAGCUGUGUUUCUAGUGUGGUUUCAGACUUAGAGAAGCAGAGAUCCACGAGGUAUUGAGAGCAACGCGGAAAAUAGUAGUGAACCCUGUAAAAAUCAAAGAAAAAAAAUCACAAAGCACCCUUUCCUGUGCCCUUUUAAGGUUGACCCAGUGCUUUAAGAGGCUAACACAGAAGGGUAAAGUAAGUCUCCAUAAAACCCAGAGAAGAGACUGGAAAGCUCCUCUUUGGAUCCUGUCUGGAGUCACAACUGAACCAGAAAAAGUUUCGUUACAACUUGAGCGCCUUUGUGAUUUUCUUUACAGUUUAUAGAACAAGCAAUACAUUUCAGUUUUCUUUGGUUAAAACGUCAUUUUAAAACUUUUCUUUCUAUAGGUUGACAACUACAGGCACAAGCCAUUGAAGCUGGAAUGUCCUGUUGCUGGUAUUUCAAUUGACUUAAGCCAACUAUCCCUUCAGUUACAAUAGGAAAGUGCCUCUAAUAAGGCCAAAUAUGCGUACUAACUUGUAGCAACCACGUGUCCGUGCAGUGCCACAGGAGCUAGAGCAGUGACAAUGCUGGUGGCAACAGGGCAGUGUAGCAGGUGCUUCAUGUUCACCUUUUCAACCUUUUCAUUUAAUUGUCACAACUCGGAGGUGGAUUCUGUUAGGGACAGGCUGCCCCAGGACCACUCCGCCCCCGCUAACUCAAUGCAGCUGACCCUUACCCUGAAUACUCUGCAGCUGCAUUCCUGAACCGUUAUCUAGGCGCUAUAGCAAGGUCACCAGACUUGCUACACCGAAGCCCUCUGGGUGGCACGGGGGAGGUCAUGAGAAACGUGGAUUACACCCCCUUGUAAAUUCCUAUUUUCACAAGAUAAUAUAUUGUAAGCCGGUCAUGAGAUUAUAUGUGGUAAAGUUAAUUGACUAACAACCCCAGGGUCUCUCUCCCCCAUAUAAACCCCUCAUUUUGUAAGCUCAGGGCUGCCACCUCCGACUGGUGGAGAAGCCUGGCAGGUUAAUAAACUUACUUGGCCUGACCUUGGGUCUCUUGUCUUUUCUCUCGGCUAACCUUACAGAUUCUAUUCUCCCAUUUCACAGGUAAAGAAAUGGAUUAGUGAUAACUCAAGUUUCAUCACCUGUGAGUAUCUCUGAAUGAGAGGCUUCACAUGUAUAACUUUUAGGCAAUGUGACUUCUGGAAAGUCACUUGUCUCUUGAGAUUUGGUGUCCUGGUGUAACAGUUAAGAAUUAUUUCAACCAAACUAGGAAAGGACCACAGUCGAGCUGUUAAGAAUAUAAACUCUUCAUAUUAUUUCAUUGCAUUGAGCCUAAGAAGGUUCACAAAAUUUGGCACAGAAGGAGUAUCUGUCAGCAUAUUCUGUUUUUUUGUGUGUGUCUAUGUAGCAAGUAUUAAUAUUUAUCUUGGAGUCAUUCUUAAUUCAUAGCAUUGUUCUUACCUUUUUAUCUAAACUUUUAUGUUCCAUAUUGUAAAGUCUAGCCUCAUAAAUUUAGGUAAUUGCUCACAAGUUUGGAUAAUGUUGAAUUGUAAUCCCGAUGUUAGAGGAGGGGCCUGGUGGGACGUGAUUGGAUGAAAAGGGUGGAUUUCCCUCUUGCUGUUCCUUGUGAUAGUGAGUUCUCAUGAGAUCUGGUUGUUUAGAUGUGUAGUGUGGCUGGGGCAGUGGCUCAUGCCUGUAAUCCCAGCACUUGGGAAGGCCAAGGCAGGGGGAUCACUUGAGGUCAGGAGUUAAGACUAUCUUGGGCAACAUAGUAAGACCUCGUCUCUACAAAAAAUGAGGCAGAAGGAUUGCUUGAGCCCAAGAGGUUGAGACUGCACUGAGCCAUGAUCUUGUCACCGUGCUCCAGCCUGAAAAGAAAAAUUAAUAAAAAUAAAGGUUAUGCAAUUGUGCACAUGUUAUCUCAAGGCAGAGGCAGAAGAAUGGCAGAGUUUAGAUUAAAAGUGUGGCACCUCCCCUUCCUCCUACUCUGGCCAUGUGCUUCCUGUUAGACAUACCCCAUGAUUGUAAGUUUCCUGAAGCCUCAGCAGCCAUGCUCCCUGUGCAGCCUGCUGAACCAUGAGACAAACCUUUUCUUUAUAAAUUACCCAGUCUCAGUUCUUUAUAGCAAUGUGAGAACAGACUAGUACAAAAAAUACAUUCAACUAAUGUGUUAGCUGGCUAUAAUUGCUAAGGGGGUAAGGAAAGGGAGAUGACUUAACAUGGCCGGCAAGGGAGGCCUCACUCAACAUGAAAGAGCUGAGGGAGAUGCCAUGGCCUUAUCUAUAGUUGAGGGAAGAGCAUUCUAGGCAGAGGGAAAACUAGUGCAAAGGCCCUGAGGAUAGUUGUGUUUAAAGGUUUGGAGAAGCAGUGAAGCUGUAGAGAAGUGCCCUUAAGGAGCGGAGGACUUUAUGUCUGUAGUAGUGGAAAGUUGGUUAUUUUCAAACUAUGGUAAAAUGGCAACGUGCUCUGGCCUGCGGGGCUCUGAAUGUUUUAAUUUAAUUGGAAUGCUCCCUAUUGCCUUAUACUUUACUGCUCUUAACCUAACUUUUCUCUGACCACCAUCAGCCCUUCUAUGUGUUCUUGAUUUUCUUUAGCACCCUGUAAUGGCCCUGUAGCAUCAGAACUACAUUGCGCAUCGCAUGCAAACUUACCUAACUGCCUCUGCUUCUCUCCAUUCUGUAAAGUCCACCUUAGUUCCCACCAUAUUACAGAGGGUCUAGUCAGGUGCUUGACCUUUUGUAGGUAAGUGGCUUACAGUCCCCUUCUAAGGGCCGCAUAAUGUUGAGCCUAGGUUCAAAUCUCUGUGUGUGAUCUUAAACCUCUUAGUGUUAGGUUCUAUUAACAAGUAAUUAAAAUGAGUUAUAUGUGGUACAUCAGACUACUUGGUAAGUAGUAAAUACUCAGCAAAUGAUAUAUUAGUUGGUAGUACUAUUUAAUCAUUUUUAUAACACCGUAUAGUCAUAAUGUAAGAACAAAAUGACAAUACUGAUAUUUAGUACUGUGUGUGUUUCAGCAGCACAUCUACUAAAAUUGGAACUGAUACUUAGUAUUUACAUAAUACUGGAAUAGCUCUAAUGUUCUUUUAAUGGAGCAUUAACUAUGGGCCAAGUACUAUUCUAGGUAUCACGAGAAUCAGUGAGCAAGUAUACAAAAAUCAGUGGAUAUGGUUGGUUUUGACAUUUCAGAUAUUCGAUAGCUGCAUGUGGCUAGGGGCAGCACAGACAUAGAACAUCAAUAUACAGAAAACAACCCCAGAGCCUUAAAAGGCCCUAGCAAGUUCUGUCAGAACAGUGGUCCAGUGAAGUGGGCCAAGAGAAUGGCAAGGUUUUCUAGGUACUGUCAAGAUGAAAGGUGUAAAAACUGUGUUAAAAGUCUGAAGGCUCUAGCAAAUAGUUGUCAAGAAUAACCACUGGUUUCACAAAGCACUCCACGGAGUCCUGGUGGUGGUCCUUUGCCCCUUGAGUUACUUGGGCAGAGGCCCUGUAACACGUCCAUGGCUCAAAAUCCACAUGUGGCUAGGGGCAGCACAGACAGAAAACAUUUCCAUUACUGCAGGGUUUUAUUAGCAGUACUGUUGUAGACAUUGCAUGAAUCAACCAACUUUUCAGAAGAGAAAACCUGUCAGAACCUGGAAAGACAGUGUAGUCUGAAUGACCGCCUCUCGAGAUAAUCAGGCCUAAUCUCUCGAACCUGUAAAUGUUACCUUAUUUGCAGAUAUUAAUAUAAUUAGAUUAAGGAUCUCAGGAUGGGGAGAUUACCUUGGAUAAUCCUAGUGGGCCCUAAAUGCGAUCACAAGUUCCCUCAUGAGAGGGAGGCUGAGGGAUAUCCACACACAGCAGAUUGGAAGAUGCUGGCCUUGAAGAUCAGAGUGAGGCAGCCCCCAGGAGCUGGGAGAUGCCAAGGAACACAUUCCCCAUCAGAGCCUCCUGAGGAGCAUCAUUUGAUUUGGCUCAGUGAAACUGAUUUCUGACUUCUGGCCUUCAGAACUGAGAAUAAAUUGCUGUUUUAAGCCACCAAGUUAUAAUUUGUUACAGCAGCCUCUAAGAUCACAAAUAUAGCUGGGGCAAGAACCCCACCACCUCAGCCUUCCUCCCUUGUUUUUAUUAGUGCCGUGUGGGUGGUUGGGAGUAGAUCCUAUGUAUAUUCAUUAGUCCUUUUUAUUUUAUUUUAUUUUAUUGAGAGAGUCUCACUCUGUCGCCCAGGCUGGAGUGCAGUGGCGCGAUCUCGGCUCACUGCAAGCUCCGCCUCCUGGGUUCAUGCUGUUCUCCUGCCUCAGCCUCCCGAGAGCUGGGACUACAGGCGCCCGCCACCACGCCCGGCUACUUUUUUGUAUUUUUAGUAGAGACGGGUUUUCACCGUGUUAGCCAGGGUGGUUUCGAUCUCCUGACCUUGUGAUGCACCUGCCUCAGCCUCCCAAAGUGCUGGGAUUACAGGCAUGAGCCACCGCGCCCGGCCCAUUAGUCAUUUUUUAAAGGUAUAACCAUGAAUUUAAAAUGUAUUUAGACUUUAAUCUUGAGAUACAUGAGCAUGUGCAUGUGGCUAAAAUAUGUGGGGUCAGCACAUACCUCCUAAUAAAGCAUUGUGAAAAGUAAGGAAUCAAUUUAUGGUUUAUUGGAAAGUCACUUAUGCACACUUGUAUUUAUACAGCACAAGACACCACAUUUUAAAAAUUCAAUAACUGAAGCAAAUUAAGACAAUAGGAAAAGCAUUCUAAUUAUAAUUUUUGCCCUGCGGGCUGUACAGCUUCAGCCAGCAGUGUCCUGGAGGUAAUACAAACUGCUAAAGUGAGAUAAUGUUUUCAUAAACCUCAGUUUUGGUUUGUGUUUUAAGAAAUGUAAACUUGAAUCUCGGCAAGAGAAGGUUCUCAAAAUUUGGCACAAAGGGAGCAUCUGUCAGCCUAUUAGGUGUUUUUGGUGUAUGAAACAUGAGAUGUAAAAGAGGACUUAAAAGGACAUAAUAGUACUAGUGUCCUUUAAAAAUAUAUAUAUAUAUAUAUCAGCUAGGCACAGCCUGUAAUCCCAGCUCUUUGGGAGGCUGAGGCAUGGGGACCGCUUGAGGCCAGGAGUUCGAGACCAGCCUGAGCAACAAAGCAAGACCCCAUCUCUACAAAAAGCCAAAAACUUAGCUGGGCACAGUCAUCUAAUCUACUUGGGAGGCUGAGGAGGGAGGAUGGCUUGAGCCCACAAGUUCAAGGCUGCAGUGAGACAUGACUCACUGCUCUCCAGCCUGGGCAACAGCAAGACCCUGACUCCAGAAAAGUAGUAUGACUAAUGAAACCAGUCUUCCCAGGGUCAGCUACCACAAGGCUCUGACUUAAGUCCUUGCCACUAGGUUGCAAUAAUACUAAUUCUGAAUUACGGGAUACUACACUUAAACAGCACUAUACUAGAGACUGAGAAGGAAAUUGGGGCAAAGAACCUAAGUUUUUUAAUGAGAAGUUCAUAUUGAACUCAAAUUUAUUAUGUGAUGGAAUAACACAUGGUUCACCUAGCUCCCUAAACUAACAUGUUAAUUGACAAAAAUACUAUCUGAAAUCCUUUACAUUUUCUAGAUGUAUCAAAAUUUCUUCUGUGUGAAACCAUUUUUCACCUAUUCUGUGUAAGAAUACCUUAUCUAUAUCAACUGACAUGAAUUACUAAUGCUUUUUUAUUAAAGUGUUUGAGCAAAACCA
ensembl:lncRNA DANCR differentiation antagonizing non-protein coding RNA